rnacentral:rRNA from 1 species
UAGAUACCCUAUUAUGCUGAGUGUAAAUAAAAUACCUGGGUAUUAUUAGAUAUGGUCUUUAAACCCAAAGGAUUUGGCGGUAUUUUAGUCUUUUCAGAGGAACCUGUCCCGUAAUCGACAAUCCACGAUUUCAUGUACUUUAAUUUGUAUGCAGUUUUUAUACCUCCGUCAUAAGAAUAUCCUUUUAGGGUUAAUUUUCUUAGUUGUUUAAGAUUAGUAUGUCAGGUCAAGGUGAAGCUUAUAUUCAAGUGGAGAUGGGUUACAAUAAAACUAUUUAUGCGGAUUUAUAUUUUUAUAUUUAUAAUGAAGUUGGAUUUGAUUGUAAAUUUAUUUUUUAGGUUUUUUGAUUUUAGCUCUAAAAUAUGC